rnacentral:sRNA from 2 species
UAGCUCAGUUGGUAGAGCAGUUGACUUUUAAUCAAUUGGUCGCAGGUUCGAAUCCUGCACGACCCACCAAUCGUUCUGGUGGAACGCGAUAGUAAAACGUGAAGGAUAACGUUGCAUUAGCAACGGCCCGUAGGGCGAGGCAAAGCCGAGUCAUCCUGGACGACAACCA